CCCUCCCUGGGAGCCGCUCUCCCUGCGCCCCACAGAUAAGGCGCUGGGCUCACCCCACCCCACGGGGCGCUCGGUUGUGCUGGAUAAGCAGGGCCCCGCCACGUUGAGGGGAAGUUUGCCCCGUUUCUCCCCCCCCCCCCCUCGCCCCCGGGUGUUUGACUUCGCACAGGAACCCCCCCAGAGCACCCUCCCUUAACCCCGCAGGGAGCUGCGAUCACCCCUCACCCCCCCCCAUCCAUCCCCCUGUCCCGGUUACACUCGUGUCCUCCUAUUAACCCUGUGCAGAGAGGACAAAAGCUAAACUAUGAUCCCGGCUCCGCCCCCCCCCCCCCCCCCAUCCCGCUCCCGGCUCCAUGAGCUUCACAUCCUCCUGCUAAGGCUGAAAGGAACAAGAACAAGAGCUGCUGAUGGUUCCCAGUCCUGCAUGCUGAAGGAAGUGUGUGCUUCAGCACUGAUUAAAGUCAUGUAUGAGUUAACGAGAAGCUUGCAGAGUAUGUGAAGCAAGA